UCUGCGCCUCCUCAAUGUAAAGCUGCUCAUAAGUUUUAUAGACAUACAGAGAGAGAGAGAGAGAAAAAGAAGCUUCAGCUGCAUCCCCCUCUUCCCUUUCUCACAGCCUUCUCUUCUGUCAGUCAACAUGUGUAUCACGGAUCUACAAGUCUACACAAAGUCCGCUGACCUACUUGGCCUAGAACAAUGCAGGCGCUACUAGAGAUCGGAGGCCAAAAAACACACUUACCGCAUAUGAUUAAGGCCGUACCUUAGGAACAAUACGUACGUGCUCGAGGAAUAUGCUCUGCGGAAGAACAAUUUCAAGCUCUAGCCAAUGAUCUGCGGAAACGUUUCCAGAACAGAGGUUAUGGCAAUCGGAAUUUGAAGCACGCUUACAAUAGAGCAAAACAACAAUCAUGCUCUCAACUCCUUCAACCGAAACAGAAAAAGACUUGUGACGACCAGAUUUUACCGGAUCAAGAACAUACACGAUCAGACGCCAUAUCACAUGCCCUGCGAAAUUUGUCAUAUACUAUGCGACCUGCCCUUGUCCCAAGAUCUACGUCGGCUUAACAACCCGUGCUCUGAACAUACGGACACGUUAACAUAUACGUGACAUCAACUUGCCACAGAAUUCUGAAUUGAUUGAUGACCUCAAACCUAUACCCAAACAUUUCAAGAAGAUCCAUAAUUGUGAUGCCUCUCUGCUCCGGAUUCGAGGGAUUGACAGCAUUAUACCAGGUAUGGGUGGAGAUGAUAUGACCAAACAGCCAGCUCAAUGUGAAGCCAGGUGGAUCUGGCGAUUAAAUACUCUGCAACCCGAAGGCUUUACUGAAGUAUUGAGUUUUUCGCCUUUUUAUAAGUAUUUCUCCGACCAUCAAAAAAACCUUUUUUCCCAGUUGGUUUCCUUAUGAAUGUUUAGUUUUAAUUUAAUUCAUUUUUUAAUCAUUGUUUAAUUUUUCAACAUGUAUACUGCUACACUACAAACAUUCACAUUCCUUUCAUAUUACUAGAUGUAAUAUACAAAUUGCCCACUAUAUGUCGCCACUCUUCUUCCAUCUAUAUUGUACAUAUAUGUGUUUGCCCUGUUUCGUUUGGGCCACGCGCGCCUCCGUCCUUCUUCCUGCUCCCGGCUCUGGUGACAUGUUGCCGCACGGACUGUCAUGUGACUUGUCACGUGACACCCGUGCGACGCGCGUACCCGGAAGUUCGGGUUGUUGGUCCGGGCGGGCGCUCACGUGCCUCACCGUAACAGGUGAGAUGCAUUUCUCUAAUGAUUUUUUUGCAAUUUAGGAUUGGCCCGUAUCUAAUAUUUAACCUGUGUUCAUCUGGGAUGCCGACACCCCCGGACGAAGGUCUUAGGACCGAAACCCGUGUUGGGGUGGCAGCAACCUGGGACUUCCUGACUCUCUAAGCUCUACGUGGUUGGUAUUCACUGCACAUGAUUUCUUGUUGUAUGGGCUCAUAUAGGCAGCAGCAUAUUUGGCAUUAUAGUUUGCACUUUGCACUUUAUUAUUCUUUUGUCAUUUUCGUUAGCCGGCUGAUAUAUGAAUUGCACUGACUACUGCUAUAUACUUACCUUAUAAUUAUAGUGUUGCUGGAAUUUGCGACUUUUUGUACAUAAUAUUGUUAUAUGUCCACAUAUUAUUAUUAUGCCCAUCUCCUCUUUGUACUAAGUCCCACUUGGUUUACAAUGUAUACAUCAUAGUCCCAGGCUGCUGCCAUUUUGUUGUGUAUUUCUCCCUGUCUUUUUAAAUGAAUUUUAUUAAAUAUCUUGCUGUU